CACCAUUGCUAGUGGCAGAACCUCACAGCUGCCACUUACUUUUUAAAAAUAUUGCACGUGUAUGAAAUCUCGUGGAGUCCCUUCUCACCCUGCUUGUGAGUUGUGCUCAGGCUGUCUUGGAUAAAUGUUGUUUUUUUGCAAAGUGCUCCUAAAGGAGCAUUUAUUUGCUCCCUCAUCUAAGUGGAGUGUCUAGUGAUUGCCAUGGAUCACACAUCAGCCUUUUUACAGAAACAAGGCAGUAAUUUGUAUACUGUAAAAACCUAUUAACUUGGCCAGAGGCUUUAAAGAAAUUGGAGGUAACUAGAAUUGUAAGGUUCUGGUAACUUAUGGUUUGCACUAAUGUUUUUUCAUCACAUCUUCAUGGUCUUUUACAUUGUAUUUCCUUCUAUGGAAGGCUGAUUACUUGUGCAUGUUGAAGAACCUGCAGUAUUAAGCUGGACCAUAUUGUACAAAUUAAUGAGUUUCCAAGAAUCUGACAGUGCUGUUUUUCCAGGGAAGCUUCAGUCUUGCAGGAACAAAACCAGACACAGAACUUGGAACGUAGCUGGCUUCAAGGGGCCAAUCCUGAGGAAGAGAAUUUUGUGGGGAAUCUGGAUGGAUCUGGACCACCAACUACAGGGAGGAUGUCUGUGGCACGACGGCUGGUGUCAGGGGCGAGGUUCUUAUGUUGCAGCACCAGGAGGCCUAACCAUAUUGGAAAGGCAUGUCUCUCUGAAUGAAGAUGUCAAAACAACGAAUGAACUUGGAAGCAUUGGAUCAAAUCUUCAGGUCUGACUGCGGAAAAUAAAAUAUAGCUCAAGCUAGAGGGAAGCUGACA
rnacentral:lncRNA from 1 species